rnacentral:rRNA from 1 species
UACGUAGGUGGCAAGCGUUGUCCGGAAUUAUUGGGCGUAAAGCGCGCGCAGGUGGUUUCUUAAGUCUGAUGCGAAAGCCCACGGCUCAACCGUGGAGGGUCAUUGGAAACUGGGGAACUUGAGUGCAGAAGAGGAAAGUGGAAUUCCAAGUGUAGCGGUGAAAUGCGUAGAGAUUUGGAGGAACACCAGUGGCGAAGGCGACUUUCUGGUCUGUAACUGACACUGAGGCGCGAAAGCGUGGGGAGCGAACAGG